UAAGUCAUCAUCUUGAACGGCCUCGUCGUGUGCCACUACUUCUCCUCUUUGGCUUUGCUACAAAAGAAUCCAAAGAAAAACUGAAUUAGCUACCCAAGACACCACAACUCACUGAGCACAGUCAGCUUCCGUAUAAAAGGCCACGACUGAAUUCAUACCUUUUGUUGCACUCGCCCUGCAGGUGACAGAAUUCCUUUUAGUUUUAAUCAGUUCCUCCUCAUGUUGGCCUUUGAUUUUAUUCUAACCUUUUAAGCUUCUCUUCCCUUGUUUUUUCGACUUUUUGUUCUCAUCUGCAGGUUCUGUACUGACCCUCUUUGUGUCUUUGUUCUGCCUUUUUGUUCCACUUUGUGCUUUAGAGGUUGCACUUUCUUUCUUUACCUUUAUGUUGUCCUUUUUCUUGGCAGGCUUUUCUAUUGCAAUGCUCUCGGCGUGAGUCUUUUUGGCUUUCUAGAGUGAAGCAGACGUUUAAUGUUCUUGUAUCCGUUCAUGAACCCAAGUAAAAAAAAAAAAAAAAGAA